UUUAGUUGUUCUAGUUAUACAUGUAUUUUGACAGAUGCAAGCAGGAAAUAUUGACAAAAUCAAUUCGGUAUUCCAUAUGUAAAAACAAUCAAAUAACCAAACUGGUAACUGUUUAGAUAGAUUCCUUAUUUUUAAUGAUUUUUUGUUUUUUUUUUUGUUUUUAGCAAUUCUUACACCACCACAUAAGUUUACAUGAUCUACCUUAUACUUUUAAGGUUUAUUAACUUGUUUGUCUACAUAAUUUAUGGAAAACAUACAUGAAAUAUAUUUUUACGAAAUUGAUGAUUUCAUUGUAACUGGGCAAAGCUAUGUACACAUAAAUAAGUGGUACAACUGAGGUAAAUAUAUUUAUUAUGAGGUACAACUAAUAUUUUUUGAUUUCACCGUCAAAGUACAACUAUACACAAAUUGGUACAACUCAAAAACUAGUACAACUAUGUACCAAAGGUACAACUAUGUACAGAAGGUACAACUAGAAAACUGGUACAACUACUUGUUAUUUUAUUUAAUAUUGUUUUAAAUGUUCACCACGUUUUAAAUGUGUAUCAUAUUUUAAACAUUGGGGUUGAACACAUUAUUAAUACUGGUAUAACUAGGACAACUAUUCAAGUUCUGAAAUUUAAAUAUUCAAUUUGGUACUACAUAUGAAAAAAUAAUCAGCUGGCCAAAUUGGUAAAUGUUUAAAACAACGCAACUCAAAUGUUGCCACAAUUAAACUAGUAAUACUAUUAUUGUAGUUAAACCAGUUGUAUCAGUCAGACUAUUAUUAUCGUAAUCCAAACACCAAACAUGAAUGCUUAUACAUCAUUUUGAACUCUUGAUGUUUUUUGUGUUAUCUUCUGGAAUAUAUUCUUCUAAUCCUUUACUAUUGCAACAUUUUUCGGUUUGACAAUUGUCUUCUUUGGUUUCGAGAGCAAAAGGAUAAAAAUGAUUUUUUCUGUAAAUAGUACAACUAGUACAACUGGUAAAACAACUAAUUAUUCAAAUACAUAUUAUAUAAAACAAAAUUUUAACAUAUAUUGACAAAUUCAUGCAUGGCAAAAUUAGACCAACAUUUUGGUUCUACAUUAUCCUCUUCUAUAACAUUAUUCGCUGAAAACAAAAACCCUAAUAUAGCCAUAUUAGUUAUAAAAUUGUACUAGUUAUAGUUGUUCUAAUUAUACUAGUUAUACUCGUUGUAGUUGUACUAGUUAUACUAGUUUCAGUUGUACUAUGUGUACUAGUAGCACUUUGCGUUCUUCACUGUCAAAAAUUUUGUAUUUAAAAGUGAGAUUCAAUUUUAUAUGAGAGAAAAUGGAUUGGGAAUGAUGAAGAAUUGAUCGAUUUGAGAUAAGAUCGAAAAUUCGUAAGGGUUGAAGAGUUUUUUUUUUAUUUUGAUUUUGAUUAUGGAAUGGAGAAAUUUGUUAAAAUGGAAAUUUAAAAUCUGGGGUUUUUUAAGGUUUUGAAUCCGGAUGAAGUAAAUGAAAAAGAUAAUAUGGAAGGGAUUAGAUGAAUGACACUUAAGUUUGAGUUUGAGUUUGAUUUUUAAGAAAUGGUGAUGAAAAAAUGGAGAUGAAGAACGUAAAAAAUGAUGUUGGAGAAGAAGGAGAGAUUUGGGGGUCUAGGGAUCCGGAUUGGGUUGGGUCGGAUUAUUGGGUUUGGAUAGGUAGUGGUUGGGUUGGUAAAUAAAUAGAAGGUUAUGGGUUUUGAAGUCUUUUUGACUAUUUUUCUGUUUAAAAUUAAUUCAAAGUAAAAAUAAAAAUAUAAGGGAAUUUUUUUUUAGACAAAGUGGUCUAUAUCAGCAUUUGAUCCAUUUUCAUCCUUCUUCUUCUGCAUUGUGUUUGCUUGUCUUAAAAAAAACAGCAGAAACAAGUAAGGAAUAGAAGAAGACGCUUGUAAGAACUCCAAGGAAGGUAGAGAGAUCUGCACACGUAUUCAUUCGAGAUCUCCGAUUCAUUCCCAUACGAUCCCUCGUCAGCGGUUGCACAAGCUCCUGAGGCCAUGAGCUAGCACCAACUCUAAGCUAGCUUGGAGAAAGUAGUCUUCUCUUUUUUGGAGAUGUGCAUGACAAGAGAGAAUCUAGAUUCACGUCUCGGAAGCCUGCUUCGGUGAUUAUUUCUAAGCCGGAGGAGGUGGCGGAGCGGUUGAAACUGAGUGUAAGGAAGAGGGAAGCGGGGUUGUUUAAACUGGAACGUGAGAACAGGGCCGGCUCAAAGGUGUCAUCAUCAUGGCCUUGAGGCAAAAAAUUUUCUUUGAUUUCUAAACUAUCUGAAGAAAUUUUCUUUGAUUUCUAAAAUUUUCUUUGAUUUUCUUUGAUUUCUUUGAUUUCUAAAAAAUAAAUCUAUGGAAAUAAUAAAAUACUUUCGUAUAAAAAUGAUUUGGGCCCUUUUUAAUAUAAAAAUACAUGUACUUUUUUUUUUUAAAUGGGACCCUUUAUCUUUUAAGAAAUAAGUUACAACGGAUUGGGCCGGGGCGGUUGCAGCCUCCAAUCUAAGCCGGCACUGCGUGUGAAGGAGGGGAGAAAAGGAGUUGUGUCGAUGGAUGCCGAGAUAUUUCAAGUGACGCCGACGUUUCAUAUGGUGGAACUGAAGAAAUGUAAUGGAGAUAGUGUGGGUUUGGCAGAGUGACAAAGAUGAGCAGUUAAUGCCUGCUUCACAACAACAGGAAGAAGAAGACGCAUUGUAGUUUUUGAGAUUUUUUUUGUAAUCAAGUUUUGAAUUUUGUUAAGUCUGAUGGUAAAACGUAUAUGAGAGUUUUUGAUAUUUUCGUUUGUGAAAAA